rnacentral:lncRNA from 1 species
CCUUGAUAGAUAAGGAGAGAUCCUAUGUGAUUUAUAAGACUGAGUUCGUAAGACCUCGGCCGGAGCAGUAUGCACAGUGGAGAAAGAGUUUUCCACUCUCGAACUUAAGUCGAAUAAAUCUUCAUAUAUGACAGACGAUGGGGUUUGACGAGUUGUCCACGACCUCCGUCCUGUAGGGAUCCACGAUAGUAGGACUGUAUCACAUGAUAACUGC